rnacentral:rRNA from 1 species
GGGAAUUUUCCGCAAUGGGCGAAAGCCUGACGGAGCAACGCCGCGUGAGGGUUGAAGGCCUCUGGGCUGUAAACCUCUUUUCUCAAGGAAGAAGAUCUGACGGUACUUGAGGAAUAAGCCACGGCUAAUUCCGUGCCAGCAGCCGCGGUAAUACGGGAGUGGCAAGCGUUAUCCGGAAUCAUUGGGCGUAAAGCGUCCGCAGGUGGCUUUGUAAGUCUGCCGUUAAAGCGUGGAGCUUAACUCCAUUUCAGCGGUGGAAACUACAAAGCUUGAGUGUGGUAGGGGCAGAGGGAAUUCCCGGUGUAGCGGUGAAAUGCGUAGAUAUCGGGAAGAACACCAGUGGCGAAGGCGCUCUGCUGGGCCAUAACUGACACUCAUGGACGAAAGCCAGGGGAGCGAAAGGGAUUAGAUACCCCUGUAGUC